UUCAACAGCACCCGACUGGACCGUGAGUCUCAGGUUCGUCUCUUCGGUCUGGAUGUCUACUCGCUGUUCGACUCCAUCGCGAUUGUUCUGGACGAAGUGGCCAAGAUUGACCCCGCUCUAGCUGAGAAAGCUAAGCAUCACUACGCAUGUUUCGAUCCCUUCGAGGCAAACGAGGAAGAGUACCUGCAGUCCUUGGUGGAGUUCCCGGAGGGAUGCCAGGCCGAAGCUCUCAGAGUUCUCAAGGAUCUUCUGAAGAAGAGGAUCGACGAAGAGACGGCAGCAGCGGAUGGCGAUGUCGUGUUUGAUGCGCAACAAAACGCCAGGAUCGUCCGGAACGCCGAGAGUUACUAUCGGGCAAUGGUGUAUGGAAAUGAGGACUCGUGGAACGUCCGCGAGAGCCACAUGAUGGAGACACUGGACCUGCUGCUGAAGACGAGGCCUCACAACAAGCUCAUUGUCUGGGCUCACAACACCCACA
rnacentral:lncRNA from 1 species